UCAUUUCUUCCUCUAUUCUUUCAUGUUGGCAGUGCUUUGCUUAUAGUUUUGAUAUCUUGAUAAGCUAUUGUGAUAUUGAAUUAGUAGAUCUAAUGAAUGAAUAUAAUUCCAUUUUCCAGAUACUAUAAUUGCAAUUUAUUUUUUGAAGCACUUACAGUAAUUGAUGUUAUCACUGUUAAUGUCCUUGCAAUUUUUAUUUUUUUUUUCACUCUGAGGCAUGUUUCUUUCUCUCUCUCUCUCACUUUCUCUCUCAACUAUCUAUAAAGGAGUGGGACAUGAAACAUUAUACUAGUUUAUUCAAUUUAUAAAUUUUGAAGGUAGCUGCUUAAUAUUUCCAAAACCUUUGAUAAAUCAGUGAUUGAAUUCAUAGCUUGCCAAUGCCAAGUGCCCAUUCUUCCAUAUGAUGACAAUGCAUUGAAGCUUAUUUUUAUCGAAGUUUCUAUUCUGAUGCAGCUUUCGUAAUUUUUUUUUUCAUAACAAAACUGUAAUUGUGUUACAAUUCAUCUGUCCCAUUUAUUCAUCAAUCAAAUAGAAAAUGUAUGAUUCACCUCAAAAAAAAAAAAGAGUACGAUUUAUACAUCUUAAAAAGGAUAUUUAUUUUUAUCUAUUUUAUUUUGGUAGCUAAGAUGAAAUUUAUAUCUGCUGUGAAUUUAUCUAUGGCUCUCUAUUUGUUUACUUCACCAUUCAUAAGCACUAUUUUCUUCACAUACUUUAAAAAAGCUUUGUGUGUUCUUUUUCAGAUGUUUUGCCGUGGUAGCAAGAAUGAUACUAGGGGCUUUAGGUAAUGAUUAAUUUUCUUCAUUCAUUAUUUUUAUGCAGACAGAUCAGUUCUUUGUCAUUUCAAAUUGGAGACUUACUCUUAAGUCAAUUUUUGAGCUCACCCAUUAAACGUGCUUGAAGAGGCUGCAUAGAGCUAAUAAAGUGAGCUUAUAUUUGGUCUUGUUCUGAGGUCUUCAAUUCCAUAAUUCCAUCAGUUGACAUGGCACAAUAAGGGGGCUGAGCCACCAGUUCAGUGCUGAGAACAUUUUGUAAGGAACAAAGCAUGAGUUGGGCUGAUUCAUUAGCCUGACAAUGAUUGAGUGGUAAUCUC
rnacentral:misc_RNA from 1 species